GUUGGAAGAUUUUUAAUCACAGUCUCAAUUUCAGUGCUUGCGAUUGGUCUGUUUAUAUUUUCUAUUCCUUCCUGGUUCAGUCUCGGAAGGUUUAAAUCGCCCUUUAACAGUCUUCUGGUUUUAUUUUAUAGGUUUGGGAAAGGGGUGAGUUGGGAGGCCUGAGGCAGCCAGGUUUUUGUUUGUGUGUUUGCUGUAUGCCGGAAGUUCUCUUACUGUCUGUCUCCCCACCACCCAGGAGCAGUUGCUGAGGGAUUACAGUGUCUGUGGGGUGGCUCAGCAUAACCUUUAUUCUAAGAAAUGCACAUCUUGCUCCGUAUCCACACCCUCCCCCACCCCACAUCAGAUUCUCUUGGGACACAGAGCUGAGCAGUUUCAGAGCCUAUCCUUGAAGAGCUGAGAGUGUGCUGAUGGAGUGAGACAAGAGUGGGACAGUGGAACAGAGCACUAUGGACAUGGUCCUGGAGGAGCAUGCAGCCAAUGGCCUGUGAGCCAGGAAAGGCACAGGGAGGGGAGCUGCUGCCUGAGCGAUGUCUUGAAGAAAUGUGGGAGGUGGCAGGGACUGUGGCGUGGGGAACUGAUCAGUCCGGGUCCUGGCAAGAAACAGAUAAUUUGAGUCAUCUGAGGAGAGUUUAAUAAGGGACUGGUUACAAAGAUGAGGGCAGAGUGCAGGGAAACCCCAGGGGAUACUACAGUACCUGUGGGAGCUCUCAGCAUCCCAAGGCUUGAGGGGGCAGGGCAGUGAGAGGUCAUCAGAAGCCAGAAAGAGACAGAACUGUGUGCCACCUGGCAGGAACUCUCAUGACAGUAAAGAAGGCUGCUGAUGCAGUACACACAGGCCAGCCUCCCUGGGCACCCAGCAUGGCAGAGAGCAGAUCUGGAGGAAGGAACAAAGAAAGCUCUGCAUCACAGAGACAGGAGACGGAAGAACAUUCCUUGCAAGGGAAACUGCACAUAGAAAGGCAAGGAGUGACAAAACAGCGGUUUGCCUGGGCACAGGGACAUGGGACAUGCUGAGGGCCUGGUAGGAGAUGGGAACAGAGGGAGGUCAGGGCCUGAGCAGGGGAAUGAUGUAGUUGGUAAUAAUGGUGGUGUGAAGGGUAUCUUGGAGGAGGACAGGAGCAGGAGAAGGGAGGCCAAUAAAGAGGUUACCGCAAUAUGGAAUGUCUGGGGGAAGAGGAAGAAUCUGGACCCAGGGCUUGCCAGUCAGAAGAGCUGGACUCAAAUCCCUGCUCUGCUGCUUACAACUGUGAGACGCUGGGUGAGUCUUUUAAUCCUCAAGUUAUAGUUUUGCCAUCUGCAGACACGGGAGCUGUCACGAGAAUCAGCGUUUGGGUAAACCAGGUGCCAAGCACAGGGCAGGGUGACUGACACACCCUGGAGUUAUGCGGUGCACAGGCUGCGCAGCCAGACUGGUCAACCUGAGUCCAGGCAAGAAGAGCUGAAGGCCUAAUUAAGGCACCGGCAGUGAUCACAGGUAGCACAUAGAUUCGAGAGUCUUCUCUCUGGAUGUGAGAAUAAGGAAGGGGAAGACUCCGAGUUGUGUAACUUGGGUGACUUGGCUAAACAUUAACUAGGUCAAGGGGCACAGAAACAGGAAAAAGUUGAGGGGACAGGGAAGGAAGAAGAGGAACGUGGUUCUAAACAUGUCAAGUCUCGGGAGCCACCAAAGCACUCAGGUGGACUUGCCUAUGAGACAACUGGAAACAAGGGAUCGAGGAGAGAGGCAAGAUUUAUGAGUCAUCAGGACUGAGAGGGUGGCUGAAGCCAUGGGAAAUAUGAGAUACCCUGAGAAGAAGUAGAACGAGAAGAGAAGGGGUCACUGAGAGAAUCCCAUUAACAGUAUCCAUUUAAAUGGAGCACCUAACGGGGAGAGUCAGCCAAAACAAAAAAAAAAAAAAAAAAAAAAAAAAAAAUAGAGCAGGAAAAGACCAGGAGAGCAGAGGAGGAACAAGAGAAAACCACCAUGGAAGCUGAGGGAGGAGAGAGACUCCAUGGUCCAUAGCACUAAGUGCUUCAGAGAGAAUGAAUGGGAUGAGGCCAGACAGUGAGCCAGAGACUUAGUAACUAAGGCAUCCCUGGUGAACUCAGCGACGGCAGCCUCCAUAGGGAGCACAGGAAGCCCAAUUAUAACGAGCUGAAAAAUGAGUGGGGGGUUUUGGAAAUAUAUACAGCAAAUGCAAUCAUUCCAAAAGCCUAGCACUGAAAGAGCAAGAUACCACGGUAGGCUGCGGGAGGAUAAUUUCUUUUUAGGAUGGUGAAACCCGAGCCUAUUUUUAGGCUAAAAAAGGAACAAAACAGAGAGAGCCUCCAGGUUGAGGGGAAAUACAGAGAAAAUGAUGGCUCAAGAAACAGAGACAGCAGAAGACCGGGUCCAACUGGAGAAGCUCACCUCGGAAAAGAGGCAGCAGUGCUUCCUCUGGGUCGACAGGGCACCGACUGUGAACCUGCUGCACCCCGGUCUGGCUCCCUCCCCCCUUCCUAGAGAGCACUACGGUGGCCCUUCUGAAGUAGCUAAGCCUUUCCCUGGCAGAGAGUUGAGCCUGAUGUGCAAGUAGGAGGAACGAGACUGGCUGAGGCAAGAGGUCAGCGUAACUGAUCUCUGAUGAAAAGCAGAGGCUGUUUUACCUGCAACAGACCUGCAUUUUAUCGUCCCUUACUUACUUCCCUUUCCUCAGGGUGAGGAUGACUCCCAGAAAGAGACGUGGAUCAAAAGGAAAGCAUGUGCAAUCAGAAAUAUUUUGCUGCAGUCUUCUUGGGAGAUAUGUAUGAAUUCAUCCUGACUCUGACGGCCUGAAGGACGAGGCUCAUUGUUUUGGGAGUAGGGAUAGGUAGAUCUGACCACUGGCCUGCUGCUGGCAUGGCCACUCCAACUUUGGAAGGAAACGCACCAGCAAUACCUCACCACCUCCAGCCAUCAAAUGCCAUCUUCAACAACUGAUUAUGUGCCAGUACGAGACGAUGAGGGAAAACGAGCCCAUGUGCAGAUCACGACCAUCAGGGUUUGCCCUUCUGAGGCUCUUCCCCUCCAGAAAACCUUUUAGUGGGGCCAUUAUUAAAAACAAGAGGAACACAUUUACUGUUUGUUAUGGUUUCAUUUCUCCCAUCCACCCUCUGAUAGUUACAAGACAAACUGGACAAGAGAUAAAGUCAAAGACCAAGAAAAUCAAAAGAAGACCAUCAGCUCCUCAAGCCAAGAGCUAAUGCACAGCAGUAAGAGAGUAUGGGGGUCAGCAUCCUUGGCCAACUUGAGGAGGGAGCAGGUAUAUUUUCAAAGGCAGCCUUGCUUUGUGGUUAAUCCCACAGCAUGAAGAGAUGCUGGGCUCUCUCCCGGAGCAAAGCUGAACAAGGCCACUUGACUGCUCAUUUCUCAGUGUUCUCAACUGCAGUGCUGCCUUUUCAAUAGUCAUUUGUGUGCUGUUCAUUACCUCCUAUUAGAACACAUGUUCGGAAGUUCUAAUGUUAAUAUUUUUUGUCACCUUCCCCAAAUAUCUUUACAUAUGAGUCACAUUCAGGGCUCAACAAAUGCUUGCAGGUUGGUUGGUUCGUCCGUCCAUCCGUCCAUCCGUCCAUCCGUCCAUCCAAUCCUGGAUAAAGGUCUAUAGAAUGAGUGUACCCACUUCCUGGGAAUUUCAUAAAGAUUUAAGAAAUCAAUUUGAUUUAACAAAUAUGAUUUGAGCACAAUUAUGUACAAGGCAGUUGUCAAGGAGACAUAAAGAUGAAUAAGAUGUA